CGGGCAAGAAAAUGUAGAAUCUAUAACCACAUCUCUCCAUGCCUCAGCAAGAAAACCAACUCAUCCUCGAGUUGUUCACAUGCCCCUCACCUAUAUUGAAGUUCUCAAAGCCCCUUCAUCCCUUCCACCACCAACGGGACCACCACAGAUAAACCUGCCCCCACUGGUACCCCGAUCCAAGGUAAGGUCCCCUCCCCUUCGAAUCAUCCCAUGCUACAGCAAUCUCUCCACUAUUCUCGUCACCACCAAAACCCAAACCUAAUGCGUCGCCCUUUCAAAUUGGGUGUUUGCUUCCGUUGCGAGGACUCGGCCAUUAUGGACUUGUUUGGUUGACGGAAAAUGGAGAGGGAAGAGAUAAUUUCCGAG
rnacentral:lncRNA from 1 species